rnacentral:rRNA from 1 species
AUUCAAUUGGAGAGUUUGAUCCUGGCUCAGAUUGAACGCUGGCGGCACGCCUAACACAUGCAAGUCGAGCGGUAACAUGUCAUGUAGCAAUACAUGAUGAUGACGAGCGGCGGACGGGUGAGGAACACGUAGGAACUUGCCUGGAAGAGGGGGACAACUAAGGGAAACUUUAGCUAAUACCGCGUAAACUCGAGAGAGCAAAGCUGCCGCAAGGUGGCGCUUCCGGAUAGGCCUGCGUCCGAUUAGCUAGUUGGUGAGGUAAAGGCCCACCAAGGCGAUGAUCGGUAACUGGUCUGAGAGGACGACCAGUCACACUGGGACUGAGACACGGCCCAGACUCCUACGGGAGGCAGCAGUGGGGAAU